GGGGCCGACUUGGUUUCGACGUGGGUUACAAAACCUGAGAUGCAUGCCGAGGAUGUCGCUAGGCCUCGUAAAAAAAGCGGCAAAUCAAUAGUUGCCAACGACGACAACUACGCUCUGGCCGCCUAACCCGGCCAGCCUCUGCUCCGGAACGUGCUCGUAAAGUCCGGGUGCCCGCAAGGGCGUGCAGGGGUCGACCCAGAACGAGAUCGCGCACACGCUUGCCCGGAGCCGCAGCGCUAAAUCCCACGGGACCGCCGCUCAACAUCCUGCCCGUCGGAUCGCGAACGGUUAAAUCGUAGACGCGGCUAAGCAUGUAGUAUCAAUGGCGGAGAGCUUGCGGACGCGGGUUCGAUUCCCGCCGGCUCCACCA
rnacentral:tmRNA from 1 species